AACGAACGCUGGCGGCAGGCUUAACACAUGCAAGUCGAGCGCCCCGCAAGGGGAGCGGCAGACGGGUGAGUAACGCGUGGGAAUCUACCCAUCUCUACGGAAUAACGCAUGGAAACGUGUGCUAAUACCGUGUACGUCCUUCGGGAGAAAGAUUUAUCGGAGAUGGAUGAGCCCGCGUUGGAUUAGCUAGUUGGUGGGGUAAAGGCCUACCAAGGCGACGAUCCAUAGCUGGUCUGAGAGGAUGAUCAGCCACACUGGAACUGAGACACGGCCCAGACUCCUACGGGAGGCAGCAGUGGGGAAUAUUGGACAAUGGGCGCAAGCCUGAUCCAGCCAUGCCGCGUGAGUGAUGAAGGCCCUAGGGUUGUAAAGCUCUUUCACCGGUGAAGAUAAUGACGGUAACCGGAGAAGAAGCCCCGGCUAACUUCGUGCCAGCCGCCGCAGUAAAAC
rnacentral:rRNA from 1 species